AGAGUUUGAUCCUGGCUCAGGAUGAACGCUAGCUACAGGCUUAACACAUGCAAGUCGAGGGGCAUCGGGAAGAAAGCUUGCUUUCUUUGCUGGCGACCGGCGCACGGGUGAGUAACACGUAUCCAACCUGCCCUUUACUCGGGGAUAGCCUUUCGAAAGAAAGAUUAAUACCCGAUGGCAUAAUGAUUCCGCAUGGUUUCAUUAUUAAAGGAUUCCGGUAAAGGAUGGGGAUGCGUUCCAUUAGGUUGUUGGUGAGGUAACGGCUCACCAAGCCUUCGAUGGAUAGGGGUUCUGAGAGGAAGGUCCCCCACAUUGGAACUGAGACACGGUCCAAACUCCUACGGGAGGCAGCAGUGAGGAAUAUUGGUCA
rnacentral:rRNA from 1 species